GUCUCAGUUCGGAUUGUAGUCUGCAACUCGACUACAUGAAGCUGGAAUCGCUAGUAACCGCGAAUCAGAAUGUCGCGGUGAAUACGUUCCCGGGUCUUGUACACACCGCCCGUCACACCAUGGGAGUUGGGAAUGCCCGAAGCCGGUGACCUAACCGAAAGGGAGGAGCCGUCGAAGGCAGGCUUGAUAACUGGGGUGAAGUCGUAACAAGGUACC
rnacentral:rRNA from 1 species